AUCACAACCUCCUCCUGAUCUCCUCCUACGCCCCACACUCACAGUGCCUGCCACCCCCCCAACCCCCCCACUCUCCCUGUGUGUCUGAGUGUGAGAUCGCACAUCCACACGAGCACAAGUAGGCGUGUUCAUGUGUGACUUCUGUAUGCACGUAUCAUACGUGGGGGUCGUGAGGGUGUGAGUGAGGACUAGCUGCCGUGCUCUGCCGUACACACCAUUUUGUGUGUGUGUGUGUGUGUGUGUGUGUGUGUGUGUGUGUGUGUGUGCGCGCGCGGGUGUGUCUGUGUGUUUUAUAAAUCUGUGUGGCUUUGAUUUGUACAUACCCGCUCAGAUGUAGAGUGCACAACUGCCACCCUUUCUUUGUUCUAAUGUUUUGUAAAUGACUUGGCUUCUGGCAUAGCAGACUUACAGGAGGUCCCUUUAUGGCCAUAUAUUAAAGACACAGUAGAUCACUCCAACAUAUACAUUAUUAUUUUUGCUUAUUUAUAGGUGCUGUAUUAUACAAUUGUAUGUCUAAUUUGAUUUCUGUUUUCUAUUAUUAUUAUUAUUAUUAUUAUUAUUAAUUUUAUUAUUAUUGUUAUUGUAUGGAAGGGACUAUAAGGGGUUCUUUUUUUUUUUUUAGACUGAUAGACUGCCGGCAGUAUUGGGUUAUAGGUACAAGAUGUAGUUGUCAUACAUGUAUAUUAGUGAUAUUUGAAGACGUUUUGACUGUCAUUGAUAUGGUUUGAACUGAAAUAACAGAACAACCACAUGACAUUGUCUAUAGCAUUAUGGUGCAUUCUCCGUUCAUCGUUUGAUGUGUCUGCAUUUUUAAUUUCCUCUUCUUUUUAUUUUUUCCUUGUAUGCAUUUUCCAUACAAGAACAUUGGAAAUCAGGUGGACUUCUAUUCUGUGUUGUAUGUUUUCCGUGUACCACUGAAACCAGAACAGGACAGUAUUUGUGUUGGUUCUCCAGAACAUUUGGCAUCACCUCAGAAUCUGACAUUUACUUUAAACAUUUCCCCUGCUAUAUUCAAGAUGAAAAUUAGUAGUAAUAGCAAGAUAAGUAUAUAUGGACUUUAAUCUAGCAAGACUUUGGAAUUUCCUGUUUAUUGGCCAUGUUUGUAGGACCAGGAGAUUUUGGGUCUUUACCAUCCAACCAACAUGUGGCUCUGCACAAGGCUAUGGAUCAUAAACUGUCAACUGAGAUGCACUCGAUGAAAUCGAAAACGUACUCAAUUUAAUGCUCUUAGUACUAUGCACAUCAAUAUUCAGACGAUUAUUUCAUUGAAUCUGUUAUUUACAAAAUAUAUGUUUAUUUUCUCCACACCAACUGAUCAAAUGACCUGUCUAUAUGUCCUGUAACAUUUACACAGAUCUGUGUGUGAAGCACAAGUACUACUGACCGAAAACCUUUUCAGAAGGGGAAGCCAACAAAAGCAUCACAAUUUACCCUAAAAGUGUGAUUGCAUGCUCUUAAAGAUGUUUCUGUGCCGCUGCGGCUUUACAAUAAGCUUAGUCUUUAAUGACUUCACAUAAUGAAGUUGUAAUGAGAUUAAUUUUGCAACUUUUCAAAUUGCGUGCAUUUGGAGCACAAUACAUUGGACUUAAUGUACGGCUGUCUGAUUCCCGCCUCAUACCCUGCCCCUCCGACAGCAAAGCUGCUGGUGAUUGGAUCACCUCCGGAGGGCAGUGAAGUUAGCACACUGUUCAAACGCCCUGCAUCCUGCCCGGUUCCAAACCACGCCUCCCUCAAGUGCCACACUGCCGGUCUGGGCCAAGCCACAGCAGUCCCUGUCAGCUGGUCAAGCUUUUCUACUCCACUUCCUCUGAGAGACAUUGGCGACUGAACAAAAAUAGUUCAAGAGUGUUUUUCUCGUUUUGAUAAUAGCACAAGCGCUGCAGCAUGUAAUGGUCUUUCCAUAUAAUAGCUUUUGACAAGUUUAAAUUAAUUGUACCCUAAAACAUUACCUAAAACAUGACCUUUCAAAAAAGGCAUUGAUAUAUUAGCACUAUUAAUUAAAGAGACAUCUUAGCACUUAGCGGUCUGUGAGUCUUUUCCUCCAGACUACUUUAAGUUCAUGAGAGUGCCUUUGCCUUUAAGUGAUCCAGGCCCGAGUGUUUGUUUUAAGGAUUACUCAUAAAUGAAUGCAGUAAAGCUGACUCAGUCUAUUGAACUGAAGUCUUGCACCCAUCCCAUUGUCAUUCUUAUAAGCAUUUUCAUCUCUGCUUUCCAAGUCUUGUGCAGGCACUACAUGGAAACAAUAAAUCAUUUUGAUCGGUCUCCUACAUGCUGUUGACGUCUGGAGUUGUUUUGUCUGGAAAUGGUCCCCUGCUGUUAAUCAAAGGAAUGGCAGUUGUGGGACUGUCUGCAGUCCUGGGCUGGCUCCUCCAGAGGUGAUGCCAAUGCAGACUGUUGAAGGCCACAGAUUAAUAGAAGGUACUCAGUCAGAAACCUGGUCAGGUAAUAGAGGCACUGGAGUUGUUGCUCACUUAACCUAGGCCUAAAAAACACCAGCCGUGUUAUUCAAUGGAGGUUCCUUUGGAGGGAGUAUUGUUGACAUACAUUGGACAAUUAAUGCUAAAAGCAUAAAAAGUGGUAAUAUGUAUUGUGUGUAUGUGUUGCAAAGCAACAGUCCAUUUGAAGCUUUACUUGCUUGCUUUGUUAUUUUAGUAUUGUAAUGUCCACAUCAUUCAGUAUUUCAGAAUAUUGGAAAUUAGAAACAUGGAUAGAAUAUGAAGUUCUGAUUUGAUAACGUUAUGAUUCAAUUGUUAAAUAUAAUUCUGUACAGACAUUUUAAAGUCAGGUCUCUGCUCAUUUUGAAGUUAGGAUUAAUAUUUUGCAGUGAAAUUGGCAUAACUGGAAAUGUAACCAAUUUCUGUUUUGCUAAAUGAUUAAAAUGUAAAUAAAUCCUACUCAAAAACAAAAAGUUGAUUCAGUUACAACCAAAAUGCUCAUAAUAUGCUAACAAUGUUUUUAUCAUAAAAUAUAUUCUAUUAAUAUUACAGAGAAAGCAGCAAAGCUUCCUUUGACACCAACUGUUGCUUUGUAGAACCUACAGAUGAAACAUUAUAGAGUCUUAAAUGAGGCAUGGGUAAUGCCAAAAUGUCAUAAACAUGCUGACUUUGAUCAAUUCCAAUUGUGCUUUGAGAUACACAUCAUAUAAAUGUCUGUCAUCCUUCCUCUAAAGGACUGUUCUUUGGUGUAAAUUGCAUGAAAAUCAAACAUUAUGUCUGGAUUUUGUAAGAAUCACUAGUGAAAGGGAUUUGAUCAAUGGUAUGUGAUGGCCCCAAAGGGAUUUCAGUUUGAUACUAUUACUAACAUGUCAAGAUGUGCUGUCAUUAUAACUGUUGUCAGCUAUUGUGUGGAUAGUGCAGGCGAUAUUAGUAAUAGCUGACAGGCAGUGCUUUUGACUGGUAGCUGAUUUUGUGUGGAUUUGUUUCCUUUAUCUACUUCUCAUUUGACGCUAACGGAUGAUUUUAACAGAAGUUCACUCACUGUCUCCUCAUAUCUUGUUCUGCUGUCAGCUAUUUUGGAAACAUUGCAUGUGUUAUUUGCCCUUAAGCCCAGAGGGAAUGUUUUUAAUCAACCAUAAUUAACUUUCUUCUUAUCUGAUUUUUUUUUUUCAUUGUAUGGAGGGUUGUGUACUCUUACCUAAUGGAAGUCAUUCUGGUUGUAGUAGAAACCAAAGUGGUUAAAUGAGUUUUAAAAAAACUUCCCUAUUUUGAAACUGAACUUCAUUGGUUGUUGUUGAUGUAUGCCACACCUCUUUCUUCAUGCUAUAGAUUACGUUCACAUGCAUGACAUUGCUUUGCCAGACUCUACUAAUCGGGGAUUGCAUCUGCAGUAUUCAAGGACAGGAUGCGCCUUGUGACCACAGUCAUAGAAAUAAUGCUAAACUGAAUAACACAGAACAUAGACAAAGACAGAUAUCACACACCAGUACAUGAGCAAUACAACUUAAAAAUAAGGACCAAAUCUGUCUUGACUACUUGUCUUUGACUGUUUUCCAUGUUCAUCCAGAGAUCCUAAAGAACAGACUACACAGAGGUCCAUCUUUUUUUUUCUUUUUUUUUUUGCUCCUGUUUUUGUGUGUUUCUGUCAUUGACAAGGAAAUGUUUUCUUUAAGUGUGGGUCUGUUUUGUAGAUAUGGAGUUGUGUUUAGCUUUCUGAAUGCACGGGUAAGAUUCUGAUUAUCAUGAAGAAUUAGGGGAGGGGAUUUUACAGUGGAACCCUGGAGGAAGCAUCCAAAUCAACACUGGUUUAUACAAAGGGCAUUUUGCAUGUGUUCGUGCUUUUCAUGUGCUACAGUUCCCUUCUGUGUUUUCAUAUUCGUUUUCAGUUUUUAAGAAAAACACAGGUUGUUCCAUUUAAGUCCUACGUUAAGCAGUGUACAAUUUGUUGCAGAAUCUAUACAAUUAUUUUGGACGAAUUUCAGGAAUUUGCCCUUUGCAAAUAUUUUUCUAUAGAACUAAAGCAGAUUGCUAUCAAUAUUAUAUACACUGUCAUAUAAAAUUGUACAGAUGAAAUAUAUCCUUAUAGAAAGUUAAGCAUUACCAUGAGUUUGAUUUUGUUAUUACUGUCAAAGUUUUUGUAGUUCUCGCUCUCUGUAGGGUUGAUGUGUUUAUAGCUGUUUUAUUCUUCCAUAUCAGGACUACAAAAACCUCCCUCUUCUGUGAGAUGGACUAUAACGAUCAUUGCAGAUGUUUCACCAUUAGCUAGUGUUAAGGUGUUAGUCUUUCAUGGAUUCACAUUUCUCUUUAAAACCUUUAUUCAUUUCCUAUCCUUAACGUAAUCUGUGAGACAAACGUUAGCCCAGUACAACACAGAGACCAUUGUGUUGAUUGUUAUAAAAGCAUUAUAGAACCAUAUCAUGUCACAUCACCAGCCCCAAAUUUAAGCUGGUUGUGAUUUCGGCCGCUUAAGUCCUGCCUUGUAGGCUCUCCAUAUUCUUAUGUCAGGAGCCACUGGUUUUGACAAGGUUUUUUAAAGUGUUUGCCAAAAUCACAAUGAAAUCUGAUUUGCCUUCCCAAGAGUUUUUUUUUUAACAUGUUUUUCAAUGUUUUCCUAUUCAAUUGAAUGUGUCUAGAACACAGCUGUGGACAGUAGGCCUAUUGUGUUUGGUUGGAAGUGUCAGAUGUGGACAUGGUAAUAGUUGGGAUGACAUUGACAUUUGAAAUAGAAACUAUGAAAAUGAUCAAUGUGAGCAGUAAUGAUAUCCACUCUGAAUUUGGUUGAUGUGUGGUCAUAUAUACUAGUCUAUGCAUUUCAAAUUGCCCAAUGCUGAUUUACAUUUUGCAUCCAACACAGUGAGUGGCAAAUAGGUUACGAUCAAUAUAUGUUCAUGUUUACAUCGAUUAAUUGCUGGUUGUGUUACAGUAGUACAGUGUUUGUCUAUUGUCAACCAAUUCCAAAUGGACAAUUCAUUUAAUCUAACCUAACAUCCGUUAAAGCUGUGUUUUUAGAGCUUUAGUGAAGAAAGCAUGAUAGAACUACAUCACCCACAGUCUCCUUCUUCAAUUUAGCACUGCUCCAUUGGCCUCAAAUGACUAGGAUUUUGGAAAUGGACAAAUCUCUGCUAAACUGCUGAAUUCAAAUUAGUUUUGUUUUCUCUUUUCCAGUUAACAUUUGUUAGGCUAUAUGCUAUAUCUCUCUAAGAUCAUGGUUUUCAGCUUGUCAUAUUAUCACAUUCUUAUUUGCUAAUUGUGAAAGAUCAAAGCUAGCUAGAAUACUCAGAGGUGGUUAUGGCUCCUCCCCUUUCCUACUAUCCUACCGGGUUUAGAAACAACCUUUAGAGUUCUAUUUUUCAACUGAUGAUUUUGAAACUGGGACAUCACAAAUGAGGAGGGGUGUGCGUGCGUUUGCGUGUGUGUGUCUGUCUGUCUGUCUGUGUUAUGGAUGCCAAUUUGGCCCUUUGUCUUCUCCUUCAAAGUUCCAGAGGUCUCCAACUUUUGUGUAUUUGGUCAUGCAGCCAUCUCUCAUCAGUUGAACCACUGUAAUGUCCAGUCACUUUCUUGGUAGGCUUUCAGUUUAGUGUAUAUACAUAUCUGCAUACACAGGUCACAUUGGUCAAAUUAAUGUCCUUUAAUAGCAGAUCUUGAACACCUGUUACAAUAUACACUGCAGAUUUUUGGUAAUAAUUUAGAGUAACAUGUUGUUGUGUUUUUUAUUUACUUUUGCAUUGUAAAUGGUUUGAAGAAGAUUGCAAUGUUAUCUCAAAUAAUAUUUGACUAUUUCACCACUGCUGUAAAGGCCUUUUAAUCCUUUGAAUGAAAGGUAAUUUUUUUUAACACUCAUUUUGGCCAACUCCAUUAGUUAUGACAGAUAUGGCUUCCAUAUAAAUUUGUUUUUGUGCUAUUUAAUUUCUUGUGAUUUAAUCUUUACUAAACUUCACAUUGAAGUUGAUUACCCUAAUGUUACAAAUGGAAAAAAAAUAUCUUCAACCAAAAGUGUAUUUCUCAAAGACUUGGCACUUGCGGCCGAAGAUUGGCGCAAUUCGCUUUUCCUCUAACACUUCACUUAGAAAUUUAAACUUGACUUGGGGCAAAAAUGGUAGGCAUUCAUAUGACGUUGUGUGUGUGCAGUAUGUGUGUGUGGAGUGUUGAGCAGCUCCUAUGCAGUGAAGGGCUGCAGUUUUGUUAUUCCUAUUCCUUUUAGUUUGUGUCCCAUUUUUUACUGACUGCUUUUGAAGUGAGGAACCCUCCCACCAUCUCAGCUGGUCUAGUUGCGUCUCUCAAAGCUCAGGUGGAAACUACUUUUAGCGGAGUCAUUGUGUCACUAUCACUGACAGCAACAGUCAUCCUCCUCUUCAUCGCCAGUCCAGGGAGAGGUGUAGCUAGUUGCUGUCGGUUAAUCUAUUUUUCUAGGCCUCAUGAUCAUCGACAAUGAGAGGUUAACACCUUCACAGAAAAAAAAAAAACCUCUUCCUGUUAGUUAUCUUGUCUGUUUUGUUGAUCUGGUUCCUUUUUAUUUGGUCAUUUAAUUCAUGUAGUCUGUUCUCAGCACUGUAAGACAGUCCCUAUACAAUAUGGAGAAGCAAUAUCACUGUAUGAAACUCACUAUGUAUUAUUAUUCACUAGCACCCUAGGUGUAAUAAUUGAAGUAAAUAUCUUUUAUACAAACACAA
ensembl:lncRNA